CAACAAGGGUAAACGAAAGGGUAGACGUAUACAGUUUCGGUGUGGUGCUGCUAGAACUAGUAACCGGAAAAGAACCACAAGAAGGAGAUGUUGACACGAAUCUUGCAGAAUGGGAAUGGAAACAUUAUGGUGAAGGGAACUCCAUGGUUGAAGCAUUGGACCCAGAGAUCAUACAAGCUACUUGCUACAUGGAAGAAAUUAGUCUAGUGUUCAAGUUAGGACUAAUAUGCACUAGCACAUUGCCUUCAAGUAUGCCAUCAAUGAAAGAAUUACUUCAAAUUAAAGCCUCUACCACGUUUUAACGUUGAAUUGGCAGAGGAGUUAGAUCCUGGGUACGCUUGUCAUAACUCUACUAAUUGUUGUCACGUCGGUCCUGGAUGGAGGAAGCCAAAUCCUAAAGUCAUAGAAUUUACUGCUGAACAACUAUGUCGGCUUCUUCCUGAUGAAAACCUACGUCGGAUUGUUCCUGCUUCAUCUCAUGUUGAAUCACAGGUUGAACAGCAGGUUGAAAAGACUACGUUUAGUCAGCCGCGAAAGUUUCCAGUUCUUAAGAAGUACAUCGACCGGGGUGCUCAUGGCUAGAGUUAUUAUAUGGUGGUCUUAGUUAUGCAGAAAGUAUUUACCCUU